AAGAGUUAAGGAAUUCACCGUCUCCUAGCAAUGGAGUGGAAACUAACCAAUCUGGGUGUACUUUCAGGUGAAGGAAGUGAAUCUAUCCUUUGCUGUCAAAGGCUACAAGCAGUUUCAGAAGAAUAAAGCAAGAUACAUAACCAAAGCGUCUGAGGUUACAGAAAUAUUCACUUGUUCCAAUCAAGACUAAGGAAACCACCUAUACCUACUAGAUUUUGAACAGUACAGCUGAUUGUAUGGAGAGAAAGAGAUAAACCAAUCCAGCAAUUCAUCAUGCAGAAAGUGAGUAUUUAUACUCCCUGUUACAAAAUGAAUCCAAUGACAAUUCAUUUACAUUUGUUGCCUGACAAAAAUAUGGUCUGUCAAACAUUGAUCUUUGCAGCAGGUCAUAUCUCGAGAUGCAAGGAUGACACGUGGCCGUAGGUUUUAGGAAGGAAUUGCUGAUCCAUUCUUUUAAGGAGGUGAAAUGAAGGUCUUACCAUUCAGAGAAGGAUGAUAAGAGGCUGCUGAAUUUAUGAAAAAUAGUCAGACAGGUAACAAUACCUGGCUAGAGGGAAAAGCAUUUUACUUCUAGUUCAGAAAAAGUCAAGCAGCAAUUUAUACGCUUCAGGUUUUAACCAGUGUAGCUGGCUGUACUGCUAAGAAUCAAAGCCUUGCGGUGGAACAUGACUGACAAGUAGGUUUUGCUCUUCUGAGAUAUGAAGAGACCAGGUGGUCAUUCCUACCAGGGAGAAGUGAGGCUCAGUGGCGUGGCUGUCCCGGGCAAGGAGGGGGAAAAAAAAUACAGCAAACAAAAAAAGCCACUUCAAAUAGUUCAGCCAGUAGCAAAUCUGAAUCAAGUCUGCAGACAUGGAGAUGAGAGAAAUGCAGCUGAGUUGAACGUUGAGGGCGUGAAAACUUCAGGAAGUUGCUAG
rnacentral:lncRNA from 1 species